UUGAUAAAUCUCAGGAAAAGUGGGGACAGCUCCCUGGACCGGGGCUCCACUCUCUCUGGGAAUUUUGCCAGAGCCCGCCAUAGCAAAAACCGGAAGUUGGUAUGGUCGAGUCUUUCCUGACAGUUGGUCUGCAGCACUAACUGCUCCUGAUACAGAGCCCCGGCGCCUCCUUCCUGGGUCUGCUCCCAGCUUCUGUCUCCAGCGGGCUUCUCCUCUUCUAUGUCCCUCUGCAGUUCUUUCUCUGCAGAGAAAAAGUCAUCAUAGCAUUGAGAAUGCAGGAGAAGGAAGAAGUGGAAAUCUUCAUGAGGAAGGCUUUUCUCGCCUAGCAGUGACUGACACAGGACACCCCUUUGCGACAGACCAAGUCCCUGUGACUAUGCGGCUCCGCCCACCAGGACACCAAUUCUCACCCCCUGAAUCUGGCCCUGCCUGGUGACUUGCUCUGAUCACUAAUGUCUGACAGAGCCACCGUGUUACACCC
rnacentral:lncRNA from 1 species